UAGAACUCACUACAUAUACCAAGCUGGAACUC
rnacentral:piRNA from 1 species